CGGGUAAUAACAAGAGAGACAGGCGGGUGAGACAGGUCAUAAUGCAAGAGACAGGCAGAGGAGACAGGUAAUAACAGGAGAGACAGACGGAGGAGACGGAUCAUAAUGUGAGAGACAGGCAGAGGAGACGGGUAAUAACAGGAGAGACAGGCAGAGGUGACGGGUAAUAACAAGAGAGACAGGCGGAGGUGACGGGUAAUAACAGGAGAGACAGGCUGGUGAGACAGGUCAUAAUGCAAGAGAGACAGGCGGGUGAGACAGGUCAUAAUGCAAGAGACAGGCAGAGGAGACAGGUAAUAACAGGAGAGACAGACGGAGGAGACGGAUCAUAAUGUGAGAGACAGGCAGAGGAGACGGGUAAUAACAGGAGAGACAGGCAGAGGUGACGGGUAAUAACAAGAGAGACAGGCGGAGGUGACGGGUAAUAACAGGAGAGACAGGCGGGUGAGACAGGUCAUAAUGCAAGAGAGACAGGCGGAGGUGACGGGUAAUAACAGGAGAGACAGGCAGAGGUGACGGGUAAUAACAGGAGAGACAGGCAGAGGUGACGGGUAAUAACAAGAGAGACAGGCGGGUGAGACAGGUCAUAAUGCAAGAGACAGGCAGAGGAGACAGGUAAUAACAGGAGAGACAGACGGAGGAGACGGAUCAUAAUGUGAGAGACAGGCAGAGGAGACGGGUAAUAACAGGAGAGACAGGCAGAGGUGACGGGUAAUAACAAGAGAGACAGGCGGAGGUGACGGGUAAUAACAGGAGAGACAGGCUGGUGAGACAGGUCAUAAUGCAAGAGAGACAGGCGGGUGAGACAGGUCAUAAUGCAAGAGACAGGCAGAGGAGACAGGUAAUAACAGGAGAGACAGACGGAGGAGACGGAUCAUAAUGUGAGAGACAGGCAGAGGAGACGGGUAAUAACAGGAGAGACAGGCAGAGGUGACGGGUAAUAACAAGAGAGACAGGCGGAGGUGACGGGUAAUAACAGGAGAGACAGGCGGGUGAGACAGGUCAUAAUGCAAGAGAGACAGGCAGAGGAGACGGGUAAUAACAAGAGAGACAGGCGGAGGAGACGGGUAAUAACAAGAGAGACAGGCGGAGGGGACGGGUAAUAACAAGAGAGACAGGCGGAGGUGACGGGUAAUAACAGGAGAGACAGGCGGAGGUGAUGGGUAAUAACAGGAGAGACUGGCGGAUGAGACAGGUCAUAAUGCGAGAGACAGGCAGAGGAGACGGGUAAUAACAAGAGAGACAGGCGGAGGGGACGGGUAAUAACAAGAGAGACAGGCGGAGGUGACGGGUAAUAACAGGAGAGACAGGCGGAGGAGACGGGUAAUAACAAGAGAGACAGGCGGAGGUGACGGGUAAUAACAGGAGAGACAGGCGGAGGGGACGGAUCAUAAUGCGAGAGAGAGACUGUCGGAGGAGAUGGGUAAUAACAGGAGAGACAGGCGGAGGUGACGGGUAAUAAAACCAGAGGAGAGGGAGACGAUGAUAAGGAAAGUAUAUCAGGACAGCUCAGGGGUCUGUACCGGGACAGGUAAGGUGAUUAUACCGGGACAGGUAAGGUGAUUAUACCGGGACAGGUAAGGUGAUUAUACCGGGACAGGUAAGGUGAUUAUACCGGGACAGGUAAGGUGAUUAU